AGAUUUUAGGCAACAUCUUUUUAUAUGAAUAUCAAAUGACACUGCGCGCUCUUUGUUUGUGUGAACCCGUGGUUACUGUUUUUCUACAUUUUAUGAUUAUUAUUAGAUGAUCACACAAUUCAUUCGCAAAACACUUUAUUAUUAAUCAGGCUAAUUCGAACACUACUGAUGAAUGAGUUCAAGACUGUUCACACUUACUGUAAUUACAUUGAAAAUAAUCUACUUAAUGCAGUGUUAUCGCCUUAUCGGUAUGUUCACAUACACACGAGCAUGCAGAUUUUCGUCAAUGAAUAUUCACAAAGUAACAAAUCUAUAGUUAUACAAUUAAUUUACCUGCCGAUCAACGAUUCGUAAUAAGCGUGCGGAUAUCCGCUCCCUAAUGUGAAUGUCUUGUUCUACCGACACCCAAAUACCGUUAGUUACGGGUAAUGGACCAUGGUGUCUACUAUUGUCUUACUGUUCUUUGUUACAUUUCAUUUUUUGAAAUCUUGAAGUUUCAUAUGCCGUACCAGAUACGGCGAGGGGCAACAGGAACGGGAAAAUAGGAACAGAAUCUACAGCACUACAGCAACAUUAAGAGAGAAAGAAACAUUUACUCGGACAUUAUAGCAGGGAUCACCAAUUAAUAUUUUUGAAGGGCCACUUAAGGAAUCCAAACAUUUUUUGCGAGCCAUCAAAAUACUAAGUACAUAUUUACAUUAUUUAAAAACUAAUAAUAUUUAACAAAAAUAAUAAUUUACAAUCAUAACACAUAUAAUUUUGUCGUAAUAUGUGUUAUUUAUUCUUCGUUUGCGAGCCCGAUAAAAUGUGUUGGCGGGACGCAUACGGCCCGUGGGCCGCCAUUUGGUGACCCAUAUGCUUCAUGGCUUAUUGUACAAGACGUCUUAUACGUGGUAGCCAUUGUCGACUAAUACAUGUCUACACGCGCGGUAGACAAAUGGCAAUCUGGCAAUCUCAAAACACGCGUUUUCAAAAGACAUAGGUGAUAUAGGUGAUAGCUGAGCUUAGUUAGCUUUGACUAUAUUAUGCUAUCAUCAUUAUUAAUUUAUAAAUCAAUACCGAGUACCGACUCAAAAUCGUUAGAGCUAAAAAUAAUACAAGAAAAAUAAUUUCGAUUUGGAUA